rnacentral:rRNA from 1 species
AGAGAGAGACAUGCGCGCAUAUCAAUAAGCGGAGGAAAAGAAACUAACUAGGAUUCCCCUCAGUAACGGCGAGUGAAGCGGGAAGAGCUCAAAUUUGAAAUCUUCAAGGUUCUACCUUGACGAAUUGUAGUUUAAAGAAGUGUUUUCUGUUAGGAGUUUUGGUAAAAGUUCUUUGGAAUAGGACAUCAUAGAGGGUGAGAAUCCCGUAUUUGACCAUUAUUUCCAGCUUUGUGAUACACUUUCAAAGAGUCGGAUUGUUUGGGAAUGCAGUCCAAAAUGGGUGGUAAAUUUCAUCUAAAGCUAAAUAUUGGCGAGAGACCGAUAGCGAAUAAGUACCGUGAGGGAAAGAUGAAAAGAACUUUGAAAAGAGAGUUAAACAGUACGUGAAAUUGUCAAAAGGGAAGCGUUUGACACCAGUGUUGUUUUCUCGAAAAUCAAUUAAAAAAGGCAGGAUUUUGUGUUGUAUUGACUUUAUCAGCUUUCUGCACUCUUUUCUUGUACUUUUUUAAUGCACUUUUCGUUUAACAAGUCAACAUCAAUUUCUUUUGUUGUAAAAGGGUCAUUGGAAGGUGGCUUUCUUUUCGGAGAAAGUGUUUAUAGCCUUUGGCCUCUGCAAUCGGAGAGAUUGAGGUCUGCAGCGUAGAUCCUUCGGGGUUAGAUACAUUUGUGCUAAGUUAUAGCCUUUCAUAGACAACUUGUUGACUAUGAUCAGUCAUGUAGCUUACUCGCUUAUGCUAUUUUACCUACGCUUAGGAUGUUGAUGUGAUACUGCGAGCA